CUAUAAGAGUUAGUCACUAUCGUUACCCUUGUAUAAGGAUACGGGAAUACUAAUGUUGA
ncrna:unclassified sequences Transposase-1 RNA